GACGAACGCUGGCGGCGUGCCUAAUACAUGCAAGUAGAACGCUGAAGAGAGGAGCUUGCUCUUCUUGGAUGAGUUGCGAACGGGUGAGUAACGCGUAGGUAACCUGCCUUGUAGCGGGGGAUAACUAUUGGAAACGAUAGCUAAUACCGCCUAACAAUGGAUGACACAUGUCAUUUAUUUGAAAGGGGCAAUUGCUCCACUACAAGAUGGACCUGCGUUGUAUUAGCUAGUAGGUGAGGUAAUGGGCUACCUAGGCGACGAUACAUAGCCGGCCUGAGAGGGAGGACCGGCACAACUGGAACGGAAACAGGGCCAAGACUCUACGGGAAGGCAGAAGAGGGGAAUUUCGGCAAAGGGGGCAACGCUGACCGAAGAACGCCGCGGGAGUGGAGGAGGUUUUCGGAUCGGAAAGUUCUGUUGUAAGUCAAGAACAGGUGUGAGAGUGGAAAGUUCACACUGUGACGGUAGCUUAACAGAAAGGGACGGCUAACUACGUG
rnacentral:rRNA from 1 species